AGUGAACGCUGGCGGCAGGCCUAACACAUGCAAGUCGAGCGGCAGCGGGGUCCCCGCGAGGGGAUGCCGGCGAGCGGCGGACGGGUGAGGAACACAUCGGAAUCUGCCGUGGUUGUGGGGGAUAACGUAGGGAAACUUACGCUAAUACCGCAUGCGACCCUGAGUCGACGGGACUGGGGGUGAAAGUGAGGGGACCUUCGGGCCGUCACGCGACCAGAUGAGCCGAUGUCGGGANAGCUAGUUGGCGGGGUAACGGCCCGCCAAGGCGACGAUCCGUAGCUGGUCUGAGAGGAUGAUCAGCCACACUGGGACUGAGACACGGCCCAGACUCCUACGGGGAGGCAGCAGGUGGGGAAUCUUGGACAAUGGGCGCAAGCCUGAUCCAGCCAUGCCGCGU
rnacentral:rRNA from 1 species